UCCACUCAGCCUCCUCCACUAACCACUCAUCCCCCUCCUGUCAAUCCACCCUCUCUCCCUCUCUUGCACCCGCAACCGCUGCCGCCAUCCUCUCCAUGCCCGCGCCGCCGCCACCCUCUACACGCCCGCGUCGCCGUCACCGGACCCACGCCUCCACCGGCCUGCAAACACCACUGCCCCCGUGCCCGCGCGCUCCGCCUCCCGCGUCGUCUCCACGACGCCACGCUCUACCUCCUGCAGCCCCGACGACGCGGUGCUCUUCUUCGGAGUGGCCCUCGUGCUGGGCAUCGCCUCGCGCCACCUCCUUCGCGGCACCCGCAUCCCCUACACCUUCGCGCUGCUCGUCCUCGGCGUCGCCCUCGGCACGCUCGGAGCCGGCAUCAGCAUCUGUAAGCUCGCCGAAAUUUUUACCUGCCUGCCUGCCUGCCUGCCUGCAGAGGGCGUCAUAGCCGGAGGCACCGCCGGGGGCGUGGUGGAUAUGGCGCUCUACCCAAUCGACACCAUCGAGACCAGGCUUCAGGAUUUGUGGUGUUGCAUCUCCUCGAGUGAUCGUUGACGUCAGAGUUGUUGGUCCCCGAUCGUCCCUUCGCUAUUCGACUAGUUCCUCUACAUCCGAGGGUGAGCUAUGAAUCCACCUUGACCUUCUAUGUUCUUUUAAUCAUGUCAGUAGAUUUUCUUUUCACGUCAAGUCGCGUAACUUAGGCGUACCCCGUUCGAAAUGGUUGCAUGGAUGAAUAUGCAUGCAAUUGCAUAUUUACCGCCGCAACUGUUUCGAAUUGUCCAGCAUUUUCCACGGACAACCCGAGGAUGUGUAGAUUGGGUACAUUUUUCAUUCUCUACCCCGUUCCGAGACACGAUUUCGGCACCGCCUCCCCGUUGUUCUCCGGAUACAAAUUCUCUCGUCUUUUUGUCAAGACGUGUAUCUGGAGAACAACGGGGAGGUGCUGCCGAAAUUUUGUCUCGAAACGUGGCAGAGCAUGGCGAACGUACUCAAUCUACACAUCCUCGGGUGGGAUUAGGACCAUCUUUACCUAUUAGAAAUGUAGGUGGAUUCAGUGCCAUCAACGCGAUAGAAAAUAAAUAUUUGAGUGAUUAAUUUAAAUCAUGGCUUCUUCCAUUCUGGUUUUAUGAAUAACUAUAGAAAUACUAUCGAGUUGUUGACGAGAAAAAACCCAUUGCCGACAAGUUGUUUAUGAGAGCUGCGAGGAAGCAGGCCCACCAGAUGUAGUACGAGGUGCGUUGGGUGGCCAUCUCGCAAUAUUAUUACGACUAUCCUAACAUGAAUAUGCCCAAGGAAUAUGCACGGAAGGAGCAUGUUACCUUGACUAGGGAGCAAUUCCUAUUGGUAAGUAUAACAUACUUUUCAUUCCGACGCUUGUGGUAAAUUUCAUUGUUUCGUGUCGACAUGCCAUUAUGCUUUCAUUAUGUAGGCGUGUCUUGGUAGGUGUUAUGGAAAAAAGGAAUCAUGGGCGGCAUUGGUUGAACUUUGGCUCGGUGAUGAUGAAAAGUGGGCUGCUAAAAGCAUCCAAAACCGGGCUAAUCGAGGGACCGACGGAACACAUGGCCAGGGAAAUCGGAACCACUUGAGGCAUAAGAAAGUUUAGGAGGAGAAAUAGAAGUGGCCGCUUUCAGACAUGGAGGCAUGGGAGCUAGCCCAUGUGUGGACUAAGCCCAAGGAUGGCAAGGACAAGUACUAGGCAAGUUCGGCCAGCGCCUUCAGGCCUACAAGGAGGUGUAGCUGGGGUUCAAUUCUGACACACCUGACCCC